rnacentral:rRNA from 1 species
GACGAACGCUGGCGGCGUGCUUAACACAUGCAAGUCGAACGAUGAAGCGGGUGCUUGCACUCGUGGAUUAGUGGCGAACGGGCGAGUAACACGUGAGUAACCUGUCCUUUUCUUUGGGAUAACGGCUGGAAACGGCUGCUAAUACUGGAUAUUCAGGCUGCAUCGCAUGGUGUGGUUUGGAAAGGUUUUUUCUGGGAUUGGGUGGGCUCGCGGCCUAUCAGCUUGUUGGUGGGGUGAUGGCUUACCAAGGCUUUGACGGGUAGCCGGCCUGAGAGGGUGGUCGGGCGCUCUGGGACGGAAAUGCGGCCCAGACUCCUCCGGGGGGCAGCAGUGUGGAAUAUUGCACAAUGGACGAAAGAUUGAUGCCGCGUCGCCGCGUGGAGGGUGUAGGCCUUAGGGUUGUGAACUCCUUUUUCUCGCGAAAAAGGCACAGUUUUGGCUGUGUUGAUGGUAGUGGGGGAAGAAGCGCCGGCUAACUACGUG